UACGUAGGGACCAAGCGUUGUUCGGAUUUACUGGGCGUAAAGGGCGCGUAGGCGGAUUGUUAAGUCAGGGGUGAAAUCCUGGAGCUCAACUCCAGAACUGCCUUUGAUACUGGCGAUCUCGAGUCCGGGAGAGGUGAGUGGAACUGCGAGUGUAGAGGUGAAAUUCGUAGAUAUUCGCAAGAACACCAGUGGCGAAGGCGGCUCACUGGCCCGAUACUGACGCUGAGGUGCGAAAGCGUGGGGAGCAAACAGG
rnacentral:rRNA from 1 species